UUACCCACUCCCGGCACGGGGAGGUAGUGACGAAAAAUAACGAUACGGGACUCAUCCGAGGCCCCGUAAUCGGAAUGAGUACACUCUAAACCCUUUAACGAGGAUNNNUUGGAGGGCAAGUCUGGUGCCAGCAGCCGCGGUAAUUCCAGCUCCAAUAGCGUAUAUUAAAGUUGUUGCGGUUAAAAAGCUCGUAGUCGAAUUUGUGUCUCGCGCCGCCGGUUCAUCGUCCGCGGUGUCAACUGGCGAGUCGCGAGACNUCCUGCCGGUGGGCUUAGCUCGCAAGGGCGGCCCAACUCAAUCCUGCCGCGGUGCUCUUCAUUGAGUGUCGAGGUGGGCCGGCACGUUUACUUUGAACAAAUUAGAGUGCUUAAAGCAGGCUAAAACUUCGCCUGAAUACUGUGUGCAUGGAAUAAUGGAAUAGGACCUCGGUUCUAUUUUGUUGGUUUUCGGAACCCCGAGGUAAUGAUUAAUAGGAACGGAUGGGGGCAUUCGUAUUGCGACGUUAGAGGUGAAAUUCUUGGAUCGUCGCAAGACGGACAGAAGCGAAAGCAUUUGCCAAAAACGCUUUCAUUGAUCAAGAACGAAAGUUAGAGGUUCGAAGGCGAUCAGAUACNGCCCUAGUUCUAACCAUAAACGAUGCCAGCNAGCGAUCCGUCGACGUUCCUCCGAUGACUCGACGGGCAGCUUCCGGGAAACCAAAGCUUUUGGGUUCCGGGGGAAGUAUGGUUGCAAAGCUGAAACUUAAAGGAAUUGACGGAAGGGCACCACCAGGAGUGGAGCCUGCGGCUUAAUUUGACUCAACACGGGAAACCUCACCAGGCCCGGACACCGGAAGGAUUUACAGAUUGAGAGCGCUUUCUUGAUUCGGUGGGUGGUGGUGCAUGGCCGUUCUUAGUUGGUGGAGCGAUUUGUCUGGUUAAUUCCGAUAACGAACGAGACUCUAGCCUGCUAACUAGGCGUAUUUUGACAUCCUAAAGGUYCGCCGGCUUGGGG
rnacentral:rRNA from 1 species